GAUGAACGCUGGCGGCGUGCCUAAUACAUGCAAGUCGAGCGAACAGACGAGGAGCUUGCUCCUCUGACGUUAGCGGCGGACGGGUGAGUAACACGUGGAUAACCUACCUAUAAGACUGGGAUAACUUCGGGAAACCGGAGCUAAUACCGGAUAACAUGUUGAACCGCAUGGUUCAACAGUGAAAGACGGUCUUGCUGUCACUUAUAGAUGGAUCCGCGCCGCAUUAGCUAGUUGGUAAGGUAACGGCUUACCAAGGCAACGAUGCGUAGCCGACCUGAGAGGGUGAUCGGCCACACUGGAACUGAGACACGGUCCAGACUCCUACGGGAGGCAGCAGUAGGGAAUCUUCCGCAAUGGGCGAAAGCCUGACGGAGCAACGCCGCGUGAGUGAAGAAGGUCUUCGGAUCGUAAAACUCUGUUAUUAGGGAAGAACAAAUGUGUAAGUAGCUAUGCACGUCUUGACGGUACCUAAUCAGAAAGCCACGGCUAACUACGUG
rnacentral:rRNA from 1 species